CUAAGGAGAGGGGCUUUAUAAUUGGGGAAGAUAAGUCUGCACUUUUCAGUGAAAGUGAAAGUCUGAGAAGAGACCAGACUGGCAAGCUGAGGAGGAAAACAACAAUAAGACAACAGAAAAUAGGACCUUGAUUCACGUUGAGGCUUUGUUAGAGAGUCCUGAGAAAUGAAGAAAUGAGACCUUUAUCAGAUGGCCACAAAGGUUGCUGAAACAGGCACUACAGAGCACUCAGAGUGUGGUCAAACAUCAAAGAUGCCAAGGUCAUCCACUGCAUCCCAGGCCAGCACCAGUCAUCCUGACUUUUGUCUUGCCACUGGAUUUCAAUGACUCUCGGAGAGUGAAGCUGUUGACUUUGUUCAAUUCUGCCUCACUUAAAUCCAAGUCAUGAGCAAGUCAAGACAUCAUCCCAUAUCUUCAAAAAUGGACAACCCAGUAUUAUAAGAAUAAAAAAGAAAGAUGAAAAAGAAAACAAGCAGCUCAGUAAACUGAAGCAAUACAUCAAUUAAUUCUAACAGGGUGAAGGAGAAAGGAAAUGACUAAAACCUCAAGAGCUUUGAAAGGCCAAGAGAUCAAGCCACCAGAUGAUUUGAGAAUGGGGCAUAUGCCACACAUAGUUGCCUGAAAGCUACAUAAAAUCUGUGCAUGCUCCAAAUCUCCCCAAGGCAUUCUACUCUGGAAGCUGGCUCUCCAUUCUCUUCCACAUGGGCAAUCGCAUCUGUCAGCCAUCCUGAUGCCCUAUUCAUCAGUUCCCAUUACACAUGACAAGGUCCAUAGGAGCUGAACAAGUUGAUUUGACCUGACCAUGUAAUGUAUCCUGUGUACCUGGCAGAGACAAAUGGAGAAUAUUUCUAAUCACAAUUAGGAGAAUAUUCCAAUGGCAGCUAUGGCCUUUGUGAUGCUUCUUUUGAGGAUCUUUGGAGAGGGGAAAGUCAUCAGGGGAAAAGCAGAUACUCAGACUUCCACAAAGUACGUAUGUGUGUCUCCCCAUAUUUUGAGGUAUAAACUGUGGAAUGUAUGAAAUUGUGAUGUGAGGGAUCCAUCAUUCUUAUUGACUGGACAAGACAAUAUAUCUUUUGCUCAACCUAUA